rnacentral:rRNA from 1 species
AGAGCGAACGCUGGCGGCAGGCCUAAUACAUGCAAGUCGAACGAGCCCUUCGGGGCUAGUGGCGGACGGGUGAGUAACACGUGGGAACGUGCCUUUUGGUUCGGAACAACUCAGGGAAACUUGAGCUAAUACCGAAUGUGCCCUUCGGGGGAAAGAUUUAUCGCCAUUAGAGCGGCCCGCGUCUGAUUAGCUAGUUGGUGAGGUAAAGGCCCACCAAGGCUACGAUCAGUAGCUGGUCUGAGAGGAUGAUCAGCCACACUGGGACUGAGACACGGCCCAGACUCCUACGGGAGGCAGCAGUAGGGAAUCUUGCGCAAUGGGCGAAAGCCUGACGCAGCCAUGCCGCGUGAAUGAUGAAGGUCUUAGGAUUGUAAAAUUCUUUCAGCGGGGACGAUAAUGACGGUACCCGCAGAAGAAGCCCCGGCUAACUUCGCGCCAGCAGCCGC